UCCGGUUUGUCACCGGCAGUCUCCUUAGAUACCCUGGUAGUCCUAGCCCUAAACCAUCAGGACUUGGGGUGGCCCGCGUAGGCGGGUCGUCCCGUAGCUAACGCGUUAAGUCCUGCGCCUGGGGAGUACGGUCGCAAGACUGAAACUCAAAGGAAUUGACGGGGGCCCGCACAAGCGGUGGAACAUGUGGUUCAAUUCGACGCAACGCGAAGAACCUUACCUGGGCUUGAACCGCUACUGACCAACGGUAGAAAUAUCGUCUUCCCGCAAGGGACAGUAGUAGAGGUGCUGCAUGGCUGUCGUCAGCUCGUGCCGUGAGGUGUUGGGUUAAGUCCCGCAACGAGCGCAACCCUUAUUCGUAGUUGCCACCCGCAAGGGGGAACUCUACGAGGACUGCUCC
rnacentral:misc_RNA from 1 species